rnacentral:rRNA from 1 species
GACGAACGCUGGCGGCGCGCCUAACACAUGCAAGUCGAACGAGGUCUUUUAGAAGCUUGCUUCUGGCUGACCUAGUGGCGGACGGGUGAGUAACACGUGAGCAACCUGCCCUGGAGUGGGGGAUAACGUCUGGAAACGGACGCUAAUACCGCAUAACAUGCUGGGAUGGCAUCAUCCUGGUAUCAAAGGAGUAAUCCGCUUUGGGAUGGGCUCGCGCCCGAUUAGAUAGUUGGUGAGGUAACGGCUCACCAAGUCGACGAUCGGUAGCCGGACUGAGAGGUUGAUCGGCCACAUUGGGACUGAGACACGGCCCAGACUCCUACGGGAGGCAGCAGUGGGGAAUAUUGCACAAGGGGGGAAACCCUGAUGCAGCGACGCCGCGUGAGUGAUGACGGCCUUCGGGUUGUAAAGCUCUGUUGUGGGGGACGAUAAUGACGGUACCCCAUCAGAAAGCCACGGCUAACUACGUGCCAGCAGCCGCGGUAACAC